CGCUGUGGCGGCUGUGUGCAGGACGCCUUCGGGCGAGCUGAUUGGGUAUUCAGUUGACCAAACUUGCAUACAGUCCGCCUCCCAU
rnacentral:antisense_RNA from 2 species